rnacentral:rRNA from 1 species
GGAUGAACGCUAGCGGCAGGCUUAACACAUGCAAGUCGAGGGGUAACAGGGUAGCAAUAUCGCUGACGACCGGCGCACGGGUGAGUAUCGCGUAUGCAACCUACCUUUAACUGGGGAAUAGCUUCGAGAAAUCGGAAUUAAUACCCCAUAACAUUCUGAAAAGGCAUCUUUUUUAGAAUUAAAGCUACGGUGGUUAAAGAUGGGCAUGCGUAACAUUAGCUUGUUGGUGAGGUAACGGCUCACCAAGGCAACGAUGUUUAGGGGGUCUUAAAGGAUGAUCCCCCACACUGGUACUGAGACACGGACCAGACUCCUACGGGAGGCAGCAGUGAGGAAUAUUGGUCAAUGGACGCAAGUCUGAACCAGCCAUGCCGCGUGCAGGAUGAAGGCCUUACAGGUCGUAAACUGCUUUUAUACGGGAAGAAACCCCUGAACGUGUUCGGGGCUGACGGUACUGUAUGAAUAAGCAUCGGCUAACUCCGUGCCAGCAGCCGCGGUAAUACGGAGGAUGCAAGCGUUAUCCGGAUUUAUUAGGUUUAAAGGGUGCGUAGGCGGAAUAAUAAGUCAGUGGUGAAAUCCUGCAGCUUAACUGUAGAACUGCCAUUGAAACUGCUAUUCUUGAGUAUAGUUGAGGUGGGCGGAAUGUGUCAUGUAGCGGUGAAAUGCAUAGAUAUGACACAGAACACCGAUUGCGUAGGCAGCUCACUAAACUACAACUGACGCUGAGGCACGAAAGCGUGGGGAUCAAACAGGAUUAGAUACCCUGGUAGUCCACGCCGUAAACGAUGAUUACUCGAUGUGUGCGAUAUACCGUAUGCGUCUGAGCGAAAGCAUUAAGUAAUCCACCUGGGGAGUACGAUCGCAAGAUUGAAACUCAAAGGAAUUGACGGGGGCCCGCACAAGCGGAGGAACAUGUGGUUUAAUUCGAUGAUACGCGAGGAACCUUACCUGGGCUUAAAUGCAGUAUGACUUUUCUGGAAACAGAUUUUCUCUUCGGAGCAGAUUGCAAGGUGCUGCAUGGUUGUCGUCAGCUCGUGCCGUGAGGUGUCGGGUUAAGUCCCAUAACGAGCGCAACCCCUAUUAUUAGUUGCCAGCGGGUAAUGCCGGGGACUCUAAUAAGACUGCCAGUGUAAACUGUGAGGAAGGUGGGGAUGACGUCAAAUCAGCACGGCCCUUACGUCCAGGGCUACACACGUGUUACAAUGGCCGGUACAAAGAGCAGCUACUUAGCGAUAAGAUGCUAAUCUCAAAAACCGGUCUCAGUUCGGAUCGAAGUCUGCAAUUCGACUUCGUGAAGCUGGAUUCGCUAGUAAUCGUAGAUCAGCAAUGCUACGGUGAAUACGUUCCCGGGCCUUGUACACACCGCCCGUCAAGCCAUGGAAGCUGGGGGUACCUAAAGUUCGUAACCGU